CUGGCGGCGUGCUUAACACAUGCAAGUCGCGUGCGCAGUCUGUAGCAAUACAGAUCGGCGCACGGCGCACGGGUGCGUAACACGUGGGCAAUCUGCCCUCUGAUGGGGAAUAACCCCGCGAAAGCGGGGCUAAUACCGCAUAACAUUUCGAGGACUUCGGUUCUUGAACUGAAAGCAGUAAUGCGUCGGAGGAGGAGCCCGCGCCCGAUUAGCUAGUUGGUGAGGUAACGGCUCACCAAGGCAAUGAUCGGUAGCUGGUCUGAGAGGAUGAUCAGCCACACUGGAACUGAGACACGGUCCAGACUCCUACGGGAGGCAGCAGUGGGGAAUCUUGCACAAUGGGCGAAAGCCUGAUGCAGCGACGCCGCGUGGGGGAUGAAGCUUUUCGGAGUGUAAACCCCUUUCGACUGGGACGAAACCCCGCAAGGGAUUGACGGUACCAGUAUAAGAAGCCCCGGCUAACUACGUGCCAGCAGCCGCGGUAAGACGUAGGGGGCCAGCGUUGUUCGGAAUUACUGGGUGUAAAGGGUUCGUAGGCGGUGCGGCAAGUUGGGAGUGAAAUCUCUGGGCUCAACCCAGAGGCUGCUUCCAAAACUGCUGUGCUUGAGUGUGAGAGAGGCUCGUGGAAUUGCAGGUGUAGCGGUGAAAUGCGUAGAUAUCUGCAGGAACACCCGUGGCGAAAGCGGCGAGCUGGAUCACUACUGACGCUGAGGAACGAAAGCUAGGGGAGCAAACAGGAUUAGAUACCCUGGUAGUC
rnacentral:rRNA from 1 species